rnacentral:ncRNA from 1 species
GUCGCGAGGCCGAAUCUGAAGGAAGUCGGCGGCAAACGUCUGGCCUGACGUACAGAAAUUUGAUACCAAGGCAGUCCAAGGUGGGUAAGGUUGCCAAAGAAACCGAAGCCCUAUAGCUAUACGGAACCGCGGCUGUAAAUCAAGCAGGUAUAAGGCGGAAAGAC